AGAACAAACGCUGGCGGCGUGCCUAACACAUGCAAGUCGUACGAGAAAGGGUUCUUCGGAACCUGAGUAAAGUGGCGCACGGGUGAGUAACGUGUGGAUAAUCUGCCCUUAGGUCGGGAAUAACUCAUCGAAAGGUGGGCUAAUACCGGAUAAUGCUGUUUUUACUUCGGUUGGACAGCCAAAGGGGGCCUCUGUAUGUAAGCUCUUGCUUAAGGAUGAGUCCGCGUACCAUUAGCUAGUUGGUGGGGUAAUGGCCUACCAAGGCGACGAUGGUUAGCUGGUCUGAGAGGAUGAUCAGCCACACUGGAACUGAGACACGGUCCAGACUCCUACGGGAGGCAGCAGUGAGGAAUCUUGCGCAAUGGGGGAAACCCUGACGCAGCAACGCCGCGUGAGUGAGGAAGGUUUUCGGAUCGUAAAGCUCUGUCGGGUGGAAAGAACGACAUGGAGGCUAAUACCUUUCAUGUUUGACAGUACCACCAAAGGAAGCACCGGCUAACUCCGUGCCAGCAGCCGCGGUAAUACGGGGGGUGCAAGCGUUGUUCGGAAUUAUUGGGCGUAAAGAGCGUGUAGGCGGCUUGAUAAGUCAGAUGUGAAAGCCCUGGGCUUAACCCAGGAAGUGCAUUUGAAACUGUCUCGCUAGAAUAAGGGAGGGGGGAAAGUGGAAUUCCUGGUGUAGAGGGUGGAAUUCGUAGAUAUCAGGAGGAACACCGGUGGCGAAGGCGACUUCCUGGCCCUAUAUUGACGCUGAGACGCGAGAGCGUGGGUAGCAAACAGGAUUAGAUACCCUGGUAGUCCACGCCGUAAACGAUGUUCACUAGGUGUUGGGGGUAUUGACCCCUGCUGUGCCGCAGUUAACGCAUUAAGUGAUCCGCCUGGGGAGUACGAUCGCAAGGUUAAA
rnacentral:rRNA from 1 species